rnacentral:rRNA from 1 species
GAUGAACGCUAGCGGCAGGCUUAACACAUGCAAGUCGUGGGGCAGCAUGGAGUAGCAAUACUCUGAUGGCGACCGGCAAACGGGUGCGGAACACGUACGCAACUUUCCUUAAAGCGGGGAAUAGCCUCUCGAAAGAGAGAUUAAUACCCCAUAGUAUCAUUUGAGGGCAUCCAAAGAUGAUUAAAGCUCCGGCACUUUAAGAUAGGCGUGCGGCUGAUUAGAUAGUUGGUGAGGUAACGGCUCACCAAGUCAACGAUCAGUAGCUGAUGUGAGAGCAUGAUCAGCCACACGGGCACUGAGACACGGGCCCGUCUCCUACGGGAGGCAGCAGUGAGGAAUAUUGGUCAAUGGAGGCAACUCUGAACCAGCCAUGCCGCGUGAAGGAUGAAGGUCCUCUGGAUUGUAAACUUCUUUUAUAGAAGAAGAAACCCCAUUAUUCUUAAUGGGUUGACGGUACUCUAUGAAUAAGCACCGGCUAACUCCGUGCCAGCCGCCGCCGUAACAC